AGCUUUGCACAGUGGCAGUAUUGUAGCCAAUGAGGUUUAUCCAAGGCGCGAUUAUUGCUAAUUGAAAAAUGUUCCCAAUACCCCACCGUGACGACUCGAAAUACAGCGGACAUUGACAAUUUUUGACAGUCUCUAUGGAGA